GGUGGUGCUAAAAGCCAGCACAAGGCUAUUAAUCAACAGCCGUGUAUACUAGGCUUAGAUCUGCAUGCUUUGAACAAAUUCUGCUUAAGAAAAGCCAAACAAAUGUAGAUAAAAAUGUCCUUGAUUGGAUUAAGCCACAUACGUGUUAUCUACCCAAUUCCAAAGAAGACUUUAAAUAGACAGGGAGCAUAGAAACUACCAUCAUUUCAAGAACACAGGGCUACAUAUACAGCAUAUGGCAAUU
rnacentral:lncRNA from 1 species